CUUUCAGAUAGUUUGUUUAUAAAGGCAUCUUGGUUACAAUAGAAGGAAAGAAGACAAAACGCAGGGCCUCUUCUUUUCAGUAUCCACUGCGUUUGGACAAACGACCCGAGAGCUUCAAAUGUGUGAUAAUAUUUACCUUUGAAUUUCUCCACAGUACAUGAUCAGGAACAGAUGCCCCUAUUCGCUCUUCCUGUAAAACACACAGUCACUGUAUCUGCCCAGUUUCCUCUAAGUAGUUUAGUGUAACAGCAUCCCACCUUUUUCAUCGUGACUCAGAGAACACCAUCACCCUACAGCCAGGCGCCCACGUGCACCGCAGUCACGAUCAUGCAGAUACACUCCAGCCCACUUACCGUAUUAGAUCGCAGGGAGCCUGGAACUUAUCCCAGGGAGCUCGGGCUACAAGGCAGGGGACACCCUGGACGGAGUCCCAACCCAUCGCAAGGCAAAACUGCACACACGUUCAAACUACGAACAAUUUGGAAAUCUGAAUCAGCCUACAGAGCAUGUUUUUGGACAGGGGAAAAAACUGGAGUACCCGGAAGAAACCCCCGAAGCAAGAACAUGCAAGCUCAGCACACGCAGUCAUCAGCUGCUGUUGUAGUUGUUGUUUUAUUUUUCAUGAACCACAUUGUGAUUGCUUCAUUUCAGAUCCAUGGUGCUGGUGUACAGAGGCAAAAUGAUGAAAACUGCAUCACUGUUCAAAUGCAUAUGGACCUGACUGUACUUCAGUGUGAUUAAUGUUUAUUACAUAAUAAAGGUGAUUA
ensembl:lncRNA